rnacentral:rRNA from 1 species
GCAGUCGACGGAAGGCCCGCUUGCGGGUACUCGAGUGGCGAACGGGUGAGUAACACGUGGGUAACCUGCCCCCAUCUCUGGGAUAACCGUUGGAAACGGCGGCUAAUACCGGAUACGACCACCUUCCGCAUGGUUGGUGGUGGAAAGUUUUUGCGGUUGGGGAGGGGCCCGCGGCCUAUCAGCUUGUUGGUGCGGUAGUGGCGCACCAAGGCUUUGACGGGUAGCCGGCCUGAGAGGGCGGUCGGUCACAUUGGGACUGAGAUACGGCCCAGACUCCUACGGGAGGCAGCAGUGGGGAAUUUUGCACAAUGGGCGCAAGCCUGAUGCAGCGACGCCGCGUGAGGGAUGACGGCUUUCGGGUUGUAAACCUCUUUUAUCCACCACGAAGGCCAGGUAUUCGCCUGGUUGACGGUAGUGGUUGAAUAAGCGCCGGCUAACUACGUGCCAGCAGCCGCGGUAAGACGUAGGGCGCGAGCGUUGUCCGGAUUUAUUGGGCGUAAAGGGCUCGUAGGCGGUUGAUUGCGUCCGCCGUGAAAGGCCUCGGCUUAACCGGGGUUUUGCGGUGGAUACGGGUCGACUUGAGGCAAUUAGGGGAGAUCGGAAUUCUACGUGUAGCGGUGAAAUGCGCAGAUAUGUGGAGGAACACCGGUGGCGAAGGCGGAUCUCUGGGAUUGUUCUGACGCUGAGGAGCGAAAGCGUGGGGAGCGAACAGGAUUAGAUACCCUGGUAGUCCAUGCUGUAACGGUGGGCGCUAGGUGUGGGGUCACGUUGGUUGAUUCUGUGCCGUAGCUAACGCAUUAGCGCCCGCCUGGGGGAGUACGGCGCAGGCUAAACUCAAGGAAUUGACGGGGCCGCACAGCGGCGGAGCAUGCGAUAUCGAUGCACGCGA